GAAAUGGAGCACAUUUGAGUUGAUGGACGGGAGUCCUCUCAUCAACUUGAGUCUUUUCAUUCUAGAAAGUUUUUACCCCAUCUUUACAAGGCCAAACUAAACUUUUUCACUGCCAGUAUCAGAAAUUGAUAAUAUCAGUGGGCAACAGCAAGUAGCAAGUGUUAACUGCACAGAAGAAGCCAACUAUUUGCAAAAAUGUAGAAAGAAUUACAGUUCCUUAAAAAACGUGAAGGAUUUGUAGGAAGUCUUACCACUGAAGAUGUGAGGAUUCUUUCCACAGUGGUACCUGAAAGAGGUAAUCUGUACCUUCUUCCAAGCUUAUUUGGGAUCCAACUGGUUCUUUCUAUUCCAUCAAACAUUCCUGUUGAGGUAUCCAUCCUUCCAGUAAGUGCUACUUAAAAGUCGAUAAUCUCUAUUUUGAAGACCAGAUAUAAGUUACCUAAAGACAGGUUGACCUAUUACAGGAUGUACUGGUCACAGUUUACACCUGAAGCCACCACCACAAGAGGACUGUUUCCUCAUGGCCAGGCUGGCCUGUUUAUCUGGCAAUGAAGAAGGGAACAGUUUGUACAGCACUGCAAGCUGGAGACCAGGGCUUCUUUUGUUGUAGCAGGCUUCUUUUGUUGUGUUGACCACGAUUUCUGCAUCCAUCAGGCAGAGAAAGAACAACAGCAUCACUGGAGCUCCACAGUCUGGUGUGACCCCUGCCAGUCCUGGGAACCAGGGAUCCUGAAAUGCUUUCUGAAGCACUCUGGUGUUUCCCUACUGCCAACUCCAGCAAGAUAAGCAGUGUGGGUCACACUGGUGUGCAGGACUGGUGAGGAUUGAACCCUUGCUGAGAGAUGGGGAGAGAGAAAAUCAAUGUGCCAGCAGCAGUGGCUACAUUUCCUUUUCCUGCUAAUGUUCCCAAACAACAAUAUUUAAAUGUUUGCUGCUCCAUCACACUUUUUCUCCAACCUUAAUAUUUUUAACACUGCAGAUUGGAGCCAGAAGAUUUCUGUUGUUUCUGAGCUGCUUCUGAACUAUUAUCUAAAGUAAACAGUGCAUGUACCUCCACUGCUUGGGCCUUUUCUAUCCCACCUCUCCCCCUCUUCCCCAUCCCCUUGGUGCCUAAUGGUUGUACACUUGUGUGUUAUCUCUCACUGAGGGGGAAAAGGGACUUGCUUUAGUAAGUUUGGGAAAAUUGACUUUGGACUCAUGUUUGGCACU